GUGAGUCUGACUAUGACUGAUCAGACCAAUAUGAGCACAAAAUGCUCUGCCACAAGUAGAACACAAAUAGCCCACUCUGAGGGUAGUUUCUCUAAUUUUGUGAAUCUCAUGUUUUUUGUUUUGUUUUGUUUUGUUUUUUUUGGGGGGGCUAAUCUAAUUCUGUUUUGCUCAUAGAGCACAGCACUUUCUCUGAUGAAGGUGCCCUUUGCUGGGCGGUCUUGUGCCAGUGUCUCCCAUAUCAUAUAAUUGAUUCUAAAGUUCUUAAGAGAGACUUCAUGAGUGUCCUAAUACUGCUUUUUCCCUACCAUGUUCUCGUUGAUCUUGAUCUUCCUCCUUUUUCUUGAACAAUACAAAGAUGAAGUCAUUUUUAAUUUCCACUGUCUAUCCUUCAUGCCUGAAAUGUUCUCCUUCCCUCCUCAUCUCUGCUUAUUGACUUUCUGAGUUUCUUUCCAAGUCCCUUUCUUUCUACUUUCUACAGGAAGCCUUUCCUAAUCUUUCUCAAUUCAAGUACUUCCUCCUCUUUUCUAUUUAAGCUUGUUUUUUGCCUCUUGAAUUUGACUAUGAGCUUCUUGAAGUCAGAGACUAUCUUUUUGUCUUUCUUUCUAUUCCUGUUAGCACUUAAUAAAUAAUAAAUAGUAAAUAAAUGCUUAGUCAAUGACCCACAGAUGCAGAUGAUAAUGGAGAUAGGAUUUAAAUCCAGAUCUUCUAUAUUGCCCCUCUAUCUUUAAACAUAAUUAACAGAAAGGUUUAGAAAAGAUCCAACUAUGUAUCUUGUUUGUUAACUAUCAGAAAAAACAUUUGCUUAAUUACAUAGCAAAAUGUUACUUUAAAGCCUUAACAUUUCUAAUAGCUUCCUUUGCACAUGACAAAAUCAUACAAAGUUUCUUGAAAAAAUGCAACUACUACUAUAAUUUUCCAUUCUACUUUAUAUGUAUCUUGUCCCUAUUCAUCUUCUUUGGAAAGUUUGGAAGCUUGAGCUAUAGUAUCCAAAACAAAAUUAUAUUUGUUAUUUAUAAUAAUAGUAAUAAUUACAUGUUUAUAUGAAAUUUUAUAGUUUAAGAGGUGUAUUUCUCACAACAACCCUGUGAGGUAGAAAAGUACAAUUAUGAUUUCCCAUUUCACACGUGGGAAAAAUGAUGUUCAGAAAUGUUAGUUGUAUGGAUAAUGGGAAAGUAAGCUAAACUAUUUUCUGACUCAAAUCCAAUGGCCUUUCCAUGACACCAUUCUACUGCUCAUUUCCCAGAUUUCCCACCUCUGACCCACCCUGAUUCUACCACCAAAGACAGCAGGAGGAGGUAGAUGAGGGAGGGCUGAUGUCACAGCUGGGGCAGCUCUUCCACCACAUAUCCCUUGCUGUACCCACCACUCACUGAGGGGAAACCCACAGGUCCCAAACACCCUGGCACCACACCCGCUAUCGCUCUGUUGACACUGUACUUAUAACUUAAAUACUGGCAAUUAAAGAGCGUCUCCCUGUCAGUAUCUAUGAUGGAUGACUAUAAAAAGUUUAUGUAGUUGAACAAAGUAAACUAUUUAAAAAAAACCCUAAUAAUUCAAAAGAUGAAGAAUAUAAGCGUUGCUUUACCAUUUAUAUUGCAAUUUCAUUGAAGGAAUAUUUUAGUUGACACAGGAACAACAAAUCUUUCCUUUUUUAAUAAUGGCAUUCAUAUUGGAUCUCUAACUGACAAAGAUCAGAGGUCCUUUCAAUGUCAAUGUUUCCUGUCUACAAUAUACACAGGAAACAUUUCACCUACUACUACUGAAUUAUAGAUACCUCUGGAAUAGAAGGCAACAGUUAUGUAAACAUGAACAGUAAUAUUACACAAGUCAGAACAGGAAGGGAAGAAUGCUGUAGCUAAUUAACCAGCAGAACAUAGUAUAUUCUAUAACACUAAAUAGAUAAAGGGGAAAUCAGGCACAGAGUACGUUUUAUUUUAAAGAGAGACAUUCUUUAUACUAUUUUUAAAAAUCUGCUAUUUUGAUAUUCUAGGAUGGAUCUUGUUGGUAGCAAUGGUUAUUUAAUUGUUUGGUCAUAUGCAAAAAAGGCUAAUAUGUUUUCAAUAUUGCAAUGAUAUUUCUUUUUUUUUUUAGAUUUAUUUACUUAUUUUUUUAUUAUAACUUUUUAUUGACAGAACAUAUGCAUGGGUAAUUUUUCAACAUUGACUCUUGGAAUCAUUUCUGUUCCAACUUUUCCCUUCCUUCCCUCCACCCCCUCCCUUGGAUGGCAGGCAGUCUCAUACAUGUUAAACAUGUUAAAGUAUAUCUUAAAUACAAUAUAUGUGUUCAUAUUUAUACAGUUCUCUUGUUGCACAAGAAAAAUUGGAUUUAGAAAGGUAAAAAUAAUCUGGGAAGAAAAACAAAAAUGCAAGCAGUCCACAUUCAUUUCCUAGUGUUCUUUCUCUGGGUGUAAUUGGUUCUGUUCAUCACUGAUCAGUUCAUCAUGCAAUGAUAUUUCUGAUUUUCUUUUUUUUUCUCUUCCUUCCUUCAUCUUUCUUUCUUUCUUAAAGUUGGGUUUCCAGAAAAUUCUAUGGCCACUCUCAAAUCCUUUCUUUAGGCAGCCUACUGGCUCCCAAUAUCUUGGAUUCUCACCAUAUUGAUGAAACUUCAUUUUUCCGCUCCAGGAACUUCUCUUUGGCAGUCCUCAAUACCUGGAAUGUUGUUCCUUCUCAACUUCAUUUUAUGGUUUCUCUGGCUUCCUUGAAAUCCCAGCUAAAAUCUUAUUUCUACAGAAAACUUUUUCUAAUACCAUUUAAUUCUAGUUCCUUCUCUCUACUGACUAUUUCUUCUCUAUCCUGUAUAUAGCUCAUUGAUACACAAUACAGUUUUCAAGUUUCUCUCUUAGAUUGUGAACUCCUUAAGGGCAGGGUUAUCUUUUGGCUUUCUUAGUAAACAUAGUGCUGAGCACAGGGCCUAGCACAUAGUAGGUAUUUAAUAAAUGUUUACAGACUAUUUAGAUUUAAUAUAGAUCCCAAAUUGGUUUUAGUUCUCCUGUAGUUCAGAUCUUCUAAACUUGAUUGAUCUACCAGUCUCAGUAUCCUUGGUUGCAGGGACUACAGGUGGUAUAAUCACAUCUAGCUGAAUAUAUAUAUUUUAAAUAUAGUUUACAUAGAUUAUAGAAUGUUUGAUUUAGUUCUAUCUCUUUAUUGUACAGAUAAGGAAAUUGAAGUCCAGCCAGAAAAAAAGUCAGUUAAGAUAGACAGAACAUUUAUUGAGCACUUAUUAUUUGCCAAACAUUGUGUUAAGAGCAGGGUAUGUAAAUAAAAGCAAGACAGUCCCUGCCUUAAAAAAAAAUGCUUAUUUUAAUCAGUGAGGACAACAAAUGAAAAGGCAGAAGAUGGGGAGUGGAUACUCCAUUUGUCAGAUGGUGUGAAGACGGUCUACAACAGAUGACCUUACUGACCACAUCACUGAGAAGAUGAAGGUUACUGGAUAUUAUUAUUCUAUUGAGUGGAGUGACCAUUGGAAUGAAGGACAAACAAUAAUAUUGCCUGGCACAAAGUAGAGACUUAAUAAAUGUUUUAUUAAUAUCA